AGGGGACUAGCGUUGUUCGGAAUUACUGGGCGUAAAGCGCACGUAGGCGGAUCGGAAAGUAUAGGGUGAAAUCCCAGGGCUCAACCCUGGAACUGCCUUGUAAACUCCUGGUCUUGAGUUCGAGAGAGGUGAGUGGAAUUCCGAGUGUAGAGGUGAAAUUCGUAGAUAUUCGGAGGAACACCAGUGGCGAAGGCGGCUUACUGGACGAUAACUGACGCUGAGGCUCGAAAGCGUGGGGAGCAAACAGGA
rnacentral:rRNA from 1 species